GUCACUGGAUCUUGUUCAGCAGCCACACUGUUGCAGUACUAUGGGUGUAUCUUCUUGUCAUUUCUUUGAGACACAGUCUCAUCUCACAGCAGAUUUCCUCUGGCUCUCAGAAGUCUGCCAUCCUCUUGUCCAUAAUGUUCCCUGAGCCUUGGGUAGAGAAAUUGUGCUGUAGAUGUAUGGUGAGGGUGAGCACUCCAUGAUCAGUUCUCUGUAUUUUGGCCACUUGUGGUUUUCUGGGAUAGAUUCUGUCUGAUGCAAUGAGAAGCUCCUUUGACGAGGUAUGAAAGUUAGAGGGUUUGUAAACCUUAAAUUGUUGUAAGCCCAUGUCAGUGCUUCUUCAAGGACGGGUUCUGAAGUCAGACCCACGGGAUUCCAAGGAGCCCUACUAAUAGUGCCAGGGUGUUUUUUCUCAAGUCUAACUCUUGGUUUCCUUCUAGGUCUAUGGCUCUGGGUCUCAGACACGGGCAUUCCAGUACGUAAGGUAAGGCUCCUGUCAUUGUCCUUGGUUCUGAGUAGAAGGCAGCAGUAACUGUGUAUUGUACUGUGUAUUCUACAUGCUGGUUACUUCCACAGCUCACCUGUGCACUAAGCCAAUUUUAAUAUUUGAUUGGGAACUUCUUGCUUCUCUGUUUAGAAGAUAAAGUUGAUUUUGAUCCACUAUUUCUGUGAUUCCUGGCUAAUCUUUUACUGCCACCUAGUGUUGCAUAGAUAAAAGUUAUCCAGCACUGAGGGGAGCUUGAAUAAUUAAUGCUGCAGGCCAAUUAGUCACCCAUCAAACCUGCAGGUUCAGAUGUCUGACCAACUUUUGAAAACAUAGCUCUUUAUCAUGGAGAAGUCUUUAAGAAUAUAAGGUAAGAGUGUCUUAAUGGUGAUCCUGUCUUGAAGCUGAGGCAGGCUCAUAUUCCUUAAUACUUUUGCUUGAUGACUUUUAUUGUUGUCUUUGGAAUUCUACCUAGAAUUUUGUUGGUCAGCACAGUUGGUAAUGAUAUCCACUUACCACACUGAAGCACCUUCCACAUUUACAUAGCUGUUACGAACUCCAUGGAGAUUUCCAAAUCCUUGGUCAUUGUAAAACCUAGUUCUGUAUUUUAACACAUGUACUUUUGCUCUUAAAUGCAAAUACCUCAAAUGUAUGUUGGCCAGGAAAUGCCACCCCAGGUGUCUUAGAGCCUUCCCAGGGUACUGUAGAGUAAGGUGUUAGCUAUCAGUGCAGGUCUGAGCAACUUCCAGCCUCAGCCUGAGCGACCAUGUCUCAUUAGAUAAGGAGCAUAAUAGAAGUCACUUAGAAAAAUGGAAAUCCUGCUUUAUUUUUUUCUCGAAAGUUAAAAUAACUAGAGUAGACAUUUCUCUGUGCGCACCUUUAAUCCCAGCGCUCAGGAGACAGAAGCAGGCGAAUUUCUGAGUUUGAGGCCAGCCUGGUCUACAAAGUGAGUUCCAGGACAGCCAGGGCUAUACAGAGAAACCCUGUCUCGAAAAACC
rnacentral:lncRNA from 1 species